rnacentral:rRNA from 1 species
UACGGAGGAUGCAAGCGUUAUCCGGAAUUAUUGGGCGUAAAGCGUCCGCAGGUGGCACUUCAAGUCUGCUGUCAAAGACCGGGGCUUAACCCUGGAAAGGCAGUGGAAACUGAAGCGCUAGAGUGUGGCAGGGGUAGAGGGAAUUCCCGGUGUAGCGGUGAAAUGCGUAGAGAUCGGGAAGAACAUCGGUGGCGAAAGCGCUGCUACUGGGCCAUAACUGACACUCAGGGACGAAAGCUAGGGGAGCGAAUGGG